rnacentral:misc_RNA from 1 species
AACGCACAUUGCGCCCCUUGGUAUUCCGAGGGGCAUGCCUGUCCGAGCGUCAUUGCUGCCCUCAAGCACGGCUUGUGUGUUGGGCCUCCGUCCUCCUCCCGGGGGACGGGCCCGAAAGGCAGCGGCGGCACCGUGUCCGGUCCUCGAGCGUAUGGGGCUUUGUCACCCGCUCUGUAGGCCCGGCCGGCGCCUGUCGACCCCAAUCUAAAUUUUUUCAGGUUGACCUCGGAUCAGGUAGGGAUACCCGCUGAACUUAA